UACGUAGGGUGCAAGCGUUGUCCGGAAUCAUUGGGCGUAAAGAGCGCGUAGGCGGUCCGGUAAGUCGGUUGUGAAAACUGGGGGCUCAACCCUCAGAGGCCGACCGAUACUGUCGGGCUAGAGUCCGGAAGAGGCGAGUGGAAUUCCUGGUGUAGCGGUGAAAUGCGCAGAUAUCAGGAGGAACACCAAUGGCGAAGGCAGCUCGCUGGGACGGUACUGACGCUGAGGAGCGAAAGCGUGGGGAGCAAACAGG
rnacentral:rRNA from 1 species